rnacentral:rRNA from 1 species
AUUGAACGCUGGCGGCAGGCCUAACACAUGCAAGUCGAACGCGUGGCGGACGGGUGAGUAUAGUCUGGGAAACAGCCCGAUGGAGGGGGAUAACUAUAGGAAACGGUAGCUAAUACCGCAUAUCACAGGCUGUGCCCACAUGGGAUUAUCUUGUAGGUGUGGUAACGGCUCACCUGGGCGACGAUCCCCAGCUGGUCUGAGAGGAUGACCAGCCACCCUGGAACUGAGACACGGUCCAGGCUCCUACGGGAGGCAGCAGUGGGGAAUAUUGCACAAAGGGCGCAAGCCUGAUGCAGCCAUGCCGCGUGUAUGAAGAAGGCCUUCGGGUUGUAAAGUACUUUCAGCGGGGAGGCGUUACCCGCAGAAGAAGCACCGGCUAACUCCGUGCCAGCAGCCGCGGUAAUUC